GAUGAACGCUGGCGGCGUGCCUAAUACAUGCCAGUCGAGCGAACAGACGAUGAUCUUGCUCCUCUGACUUUAGCGGCGGACGGGUGAUUAACACGUGUAUAACCUACCUAUAAUACUGGGAUAACUUCGGGAAUCCGGAGCUAAUACCGGAUAAUAUAUUGUACCUCAUUGUUCAAUAGUGAAAUACGUUUUUUCUGUCACUUAUAGAUUGUUCCGCGCCGCAUUAGCUAGUUGUUAAGGUAACGGCUUACCAAGGCAACGAUGCGUAGCCGAACUGAGAGGGUGAUCGGCCAAACUGGAAGUGAGAAACGGUAAAGAGUACUACGGGAGGCAGCAGUAGGGAAUGUUAGGCAAUGGGCGAAAGCAUGACGGAGCAACGCCGCGUGAGUGAUGAAGGACUUCGGAUCGUAAAAAUCUGUUAUUAGGGAAGAAAAAAUGUGUAAGAAACUAUGCACGUCUUGACGGUAACUAAUAAGAAAGCAACGGCUAACUACGUG
rnacentral:rRNA from 1 species